rnacentral:rRNA from 1 species
GUUGGUGGGGCAGCGGCCUACCAAGCCGACGAUCAGUAGCCGACCUGAGAGGGUGACCGGCCACAUUGGGACUGAGACACGGCCCAAACUCCUACGGGAGGCAGCAGUGGGGAAUAUUGCACAAUGGGGGAAACCCUGAUGCAGCGACGCCGCGUGAAGGAAGAAGUAUUUCGGUAUGUAAACUUCUAUCAGCAGGGAAGAAGAUGACGGUACCUGACUAAGAAGCACCGGCUAAAUAC